UCAACUGUAUUCAUUUGUAGAUACUUUUACACUGUAUUCACUUUAUUAUAUUUAAAAUCGGUUGUAUACAAAAAAAUAUCCUUCAAAAUACACCACAAAACACUGAAUUUUGCACUAAAAAAAUUAACGAAUACAUUCAAAAACUACAACAACAACAACAUGCCCAGUAGAAUCCCACAAUGUGGGGAAUACAUUCAAAAACUGAAUACAAGAAAUAAAAUUCACUGUAUUCAUUUGUAUACAAAAAGAUCUUCUUCGAAAUACAUGCGAAAAACACUGUAUACACUGUAUGUAUACAACAAAUCAGUGUAUUUUGUAUUUUCCUGUCAGAUUUCGCCGGGUCGUGACAAUUUCCAAUUAGAUUCCGGUCAGAUCUGACUGUUUCCGGUCAGAUUCGGCCCAGAUCUGACUGUUUCCGUCCAAAUCUGACAUCGACGCCACCAGAUCUAUGAAAACACCGCUGUCACCGUCAUCGUCACCAACAACCACCACUGUAUCCUUCAUCAACACCAACAACCGGCGGUGUAUCCUUCAUCUUCGGCGAUACAACGACGCAGGGGAAAGAGGGACGAAAAUGGAAGUACUUUCGCUAGACAACUCAUUACAGGUCAAAUUCCCUUAACCUCCAUUAAUUAAUUUUCUUCUUCUAUUAGUUUACUACAAGAUUACAGAAGCAAAAAGUUUCAGGCUUUUCAGUUGCAGAGCAUAAAAGAGAAGAUACGGCCAAUCUUUCACCGUUUUUCUGCAAUUUAAACCUUUUAAGUUUCAACCAUACAAAUUGGUCCUGAUUAAAGCCAAGUCAGAUUUUGACCAGAUCUGACUGUUUCGGUCCAGAUAUGACCCACUAUCUAUUGUAAUUUUAGUGACCAAUAAUAUUAAGGUAUUCUACUUUAAAUAUAUAUAUAUAUAGCUAUUAAUUGUAUUUAACAUAUUACUCUUAGCUAUAGGAUGUAAUUUAUCUAAACUCUUGCUACUAAAUAUAAAUAUGUACUAGUGUUAGUUA